CAGUCCGUGCGCCAAGGCCCUUGAGAGACCGAUUUUCAUUUUCUCGCGGGAAUCGUAGCCUCCAAGGCGCCGCACCUGCGGGCUUGUUUUCUGUUGAUUUCGCCUAUCUCCGAAUGGUGAAUAUUUCAAUGAAAUUUGCUGCUUAGAGCCCUUCUAGUCUCGUCAGGAGACCUUUCCUACACUGGAGAGAUGGCUCGGAGUGAUGUAGACACCUAUGGCCGUACCCUGGAAAAUUAUUUUGGAGCUUGCAGUUCGUGAGCAGCCACCAAGGACGAAUGUCUCACUUUUGUAAUUGCUGAAACGAGGAAUAUGGUCACCAAUUUCACACCAGUGUGGUGACUUCUGAUCCAUGAGGCGAUGGCAUGAAGUCAACAGUUUGCAGUAUGUGCAAUAUGCGGCAGUCUCUCUGUCAAUGGACCUGUGACAGCUGAAGCCCAGAUGUUGCAGUUUGAUGUCUAUGGCCAGCAGCAAUCUAAUGUUGUUGCACCUUUCCUUCCACACACAGCAAUGCGGAAUAUGUCAUGGACAGACAUCGCUAAACUGCCUCUUUUGAAGAAGCAUCGCAAUUCUUGUCUGCCAAUAAACAACAGACUAGCCAGCUAUAAUUACAAUUUGGAGGUCGGAGACGCGAUCCCGUGAACGUAUUGCGCCAACUGCAAUGAAGAAGGCCUUAGUGAUCUGGAUUUAUUACCAUUCUCGUGAGGAUAACUAUGGCGUUGUGAUCCAAGUCAUGCAGACUAUAAAAUGCCUUAGACGUGAGAUAGUGAAGGUACUGCCGACAGCAAGCCAACAGUGGAUAUGAACCACGCCGCCAGCAUCAUUCUGCACACCAGGAGAAUCCAAUACAUAUAGCUGCCAACUCUGAUGGUAUAGACCCGAUAACUUGUUUUCUUACUCUAAGAUUGGUAUACAAUUAUACAUGUACUAGUGCAAUCUCUAUCCACAUGCGGAAUGCACUGUAUUUGUUUCCGGUGACUGGAGGUAGUUUAUCAUAGCACUGUUUUAUGUCCUGGUUUUGUUGAAGAUACGCAUUAUCCAGUUAACUUGCUAGGUACCGUAUCAGUCAGCUCUUUCAGCAUUUGGCUUUGUGCCAGGGGUGGUUGGCGGUGUCGCGGGUCAUUCCACAGUCCGCAAAGUUGACGUUCUCGGCAACGGAGCGACCCAGUAGGCAAUUGAUCACCGAUAAAUAUACUGUCAUUGGUAUCACGGUGCACCACAAUGGCAUAUGGUGUGAAUAUCAUUAUGUUAUUCUGCAGCGAGUCCUUGUCGUGUAGCUUGCGAAAGUUAUUGCAUACGGUCAUUACGUGCAUAAUGCAUAGUACUGUCUGUACACUCAA